rnacentral:rRNA from 1 species
ACGUAGGGGGCAAGCGUUGUCCGGAAUUACUGGGUGUAAAGGGAGCGCAGGCGGCUGAAUAAGUCAGGGGUGAAAUCCCGGGGCUUAACCCAGAAACUGCCGUUGAAACUGUUUGACUUGAGUCUAGUAGAGGUAGGCGGAAUUCCGAGUGUAGCGGUGAAAUGCGUAGAUAUUAGGAGGAACACCGGUGGCGAAGGCGGCUUACUGGGCUAUAACUGACGCUGAGGCGCGAAAGUGUGGGGAGCAAACAG